UUGUGGGUUUGUGUUUAGGGGAUUUCCAUCAAAGUUUUGGGUUCAAACACCCACUUAUUUUCUGUUUUUACUUGACAAUCGGAUGAUGAAAACAAGCCCAAGUCAUCAUCUUCCGUAUGAUGAACUUGUGCCUUGUGAAGUGUGAACAAAUAGAAAAGCCUUGGCUUUCCAAACUAAGUUCCACUCCUUCAUUUGAACAUUUUUAUAACUUGUUAGACUAGAUUUACUUUCUUGUAAGUUCAUGACCCUCCUUAUUGUUUCUAACAACAAGUGUAGUGGUGAACAAUAGAGGUACCUAAAUGGAAGACUUGAAUUCUUCCUACCUCAUGUAUGAAUUAUAUGACACAAAGAGGUACCUAAAUGGAGACUUUAAUCUCCUACCUCAUGCUUGAUCUAUAGGACUUGUAAUCUGUAUAGAAUAUUCAUAUGUUAUCUAUAUAAUCUAUAUAAAUCUAAAUAGCUAGACUUGAUGAUAACUUAAUAGUUACUUGUCAAGAAUAUGUUACAUCACCUAUGACCAUACACAUGUUACGAUUCUAAUGGACUUUAAUCCAUGAAAACACACAAACUCUUUCGAGUUUCAAUAGUGUCAAGAACAUGAGCUAUGUGUGCAAGAUGAUUACUUUCAUAAGUUAUUUUCAUGACCUUAAGCUCCAAAUCUCUAAACCAUAUGUAAACACCUAUUAAACUCCAAAUCGAACACAUUCAACUUUCUAGUCUCAACAACCUUGUCACAUUGGAUAAAUCGGAAAGCAUAUGCAAUUUUGUGAGUAUACUCGAUCCCUUUU
rnacentral:lncRNA from 1 species